rnacentral:rRNA from 1 species
GACGAACGCUGGCGGCGUGCCUAAUACAUGCAAGUUGAGCGCUGAAGGUUGGUACUUGUACCGACUGGAUGAGCAGCGAACGGGUGAGUAACGCGUGGGGAAUCUGCCUUUGAGCGGGGGACAACAUUUGGAAACGAAUGCUAAUACCGCAUAAAAACUUUAAACACAAGUUUUAAGUUUGAAAGAUGCAAUUGCAUCACUCAAAGAUGAUCCCGCGUUGUAUUAGCUAGUUGGUGAGGUAAAGGCUCACCAAGGCGAUGAUACAUAGCCGACCUGAGAGGGUGAUCGGCCACAUUGGGACUGAGACACGGCCCAAACUCCUACGGGAGGCAGCAGUAGGGAAUCUUCGGCAAAGGACGAAAGUCUGACCGAGCAACGCCGCGUGAGUGAAGAAGGUGUUCGGAUCGUAAAACUCUGUUGGUAGAGAAGAACGUUGGUGAGAGUGGAAAGCUCAUCAAGUGACGGUAACGACCCAGAAAGGGACGGCUAACUACGU